rnacentral:pre_miRNA from 1 species
CAACUACUCCCUCUGUCCCAAAUUUCUUGUCUUAGAUUUUUCUAGAUACGGAUGUAUCAAAUACUAAAAUGUGACUUGAUACAUCCAUAUCUAGACAAAUCUAAGACAAGAAUUUUUGGACGGAGGGAGUACUUU